AUUGAACGCUGGCGGCAGGCCUAACACAUGCAAGUCGAACGAGUGGCGGACGGGUGAGUAAUGUCUGGGAAACUGCCCGAUGGCGGGGGAUAAGUAGUGGAAAAGGUAGGUAAUACCGCAUAACAUGGGAUUUGGCCAGAUGGGAUUAGCUAGUCGGUGGGGUAACGGCUCACCUAGGCGACGAUCCCUAGCUGGUCUGAGAGGAUGACCAGCCACACUGGAACUGAGACACGGUCCAGACUCCUACGGGAGGCAGCAGUGGGGAAUAUUGCACAAUGGGCGCAAGCCUGAUGCAGCCAUGCCGCGUGUAUGAAGAAGGCCUUCGGGUUGUAAAGUACUUUCAGCGAGGAGGCGUUACUCGCAGAAGAAGCACCGGCUAACUCCGUGCCAGCAGCCGCGGUAAUUC
rnacentral:rRNA from 1 species